rnacentral:rRNA from 1 species
UACGAAGGGUGCAAGCGUUGUUCGGAUUUACUGGGCGUAAAGCGUCCGUAGGUGGUUUGUUAAGUCAGAGGUGAAAUCCCAAGGCUCAAUCUUGGAACUGCCUUUGAUACUGGCAAGCUGGAGCGCGAUAGAGGAAGAUGGAAUAUCUGGUGUAGGGGUGAAAUCCGUAGAUAUCAGAUAGAACACCAAUGGCGAAGGUAGUCUUCUGGAUCGUCGCUGACACUGAGGGACGAAAGCGUGGGCAGCAAAC